rnacentral:rRNA from 1 species
UACGUAGGUGGCAAGCGUUGUCCGGAUUUACUGGGCGUAAAGAGCGCGCAGGCGGUCGUACAAGUCGCGUGUGAAAGCCCCCGGCUCAACUGGGGAGGGUCACGCGAUACUGUUCGACUCGAAGGCAGGAGAGGGAAGCGGAAUUCCCGGUGUAGUGGUGAAAUGCGUAGAUAUCGGGAGGAACACCAGUGGCGAAGGCGGCUUCCUGGCCUGUUCUUGACGCUGAGGCGCGAAAGCUAGGGUAGCAAGCGGG